rnacentral:lncRNA from 1 species
GAUACACAAUAUACAGUUUACAGUAUGAAAUGUUAUAAAAACAUCCUUAAUGUUUUCUUAAACUUUUGGAGAUAGCCAGAAUUAACGGUUAUUUGUUACUAUAAAUCCUUUCAGACUUGAAAUAGGACUAUUAUUCAUAUGAUUUGUUUUUUGAUUUAUCACUUUUUAUUGCAUUUUGAUACAUACAAACAUUUUUUUUAAUGAUUUAGGAGGUGUAUGUUGGUUUUAUAAUAAAAAAUUUC